rnacentral:sRNA from 1 species
UGCAUUAUAUUAUGACACAUUUUGACCAUAGAAACACUAACAAAUAUAUUUACUGCUUCAAAGCAAAUUUUUGUUGGUUUUAGCCUCUUUUGGGAGAAAAUGGGUAUAAGUGUUGUCUAAACACUCGUAACACAUCUUUAACUCUUAUAAUUAGUCAAAUGCAUUGGAUUAUGACACAUUUUGACCAUAAAACACUAACAAAACUGUUUACUGCUUGUAAGGAAUUUUUUGUUGGUUUUAGCCUCUUUUGGGAGAAAAUGGGUAUAAGUGUUGUCAAUACACCCCUAAUCCAUCUCUAACUCAUAUAAUCAGUUAAAUGUAUUGGAUUGCGAUACAUAUUGACCAUUGAAACACUAAAAAAGC